GUGGUGAGACCUCCUCUCUGCUAAAAAUACAAAAAAGUAGCCAGGUGUGGUGUCACACACCUGUGGUCCCAGCUACUUGGGAGGGUGAUGUGGGAGGAUUACUUGAGCCUGGGAGGCAGAGGCUGCAGUGAGCCAAGAUCGUGCCACUGCACUCCAGCCUGGGUGACAGAGUGAGACUUCAUCUCAACAAACAAACAAAUAAAUGUGUUAAGGAAUGCAAGUUGUAAAUGUAGCCAGAAGAUCCUAAUUCUUCUAGGGCAUCAUGACAAAUUACAGAAAUUUAACUUCAUGUAGAACAUCAAACUCCCUAGCUAAAUUGUCAAAUUAGAGUGGGCAUUCUUUUUUCCAUCUUUAAUAGACGUUCCCAGCCAAGUAGCUUUUUUAAGCUCAAAAUCUUCAAAGCAGCAUGUAUUUCUUUGAGUUACUGUGAAGAGAAAAAUGCCCCAUACAAUUUAUUCAAGGUCCAUUAAGAAACCCUAUUAAACUCUUUCCCUCCAAACAUAUGUAGUCUUAGAGAGUAUGGCUGUGUGUGUUUGUAUGUCUAUGUAAGAUAUACAUGUCUUUGAGACAUAUCAUUUCCAUCCUGAAAUGCUCCAGUUGGAUAUUUCAUGUUGCACAGGAUGAAGGGCGUUUAGAGGGAUGGGGGAGGCAGAAUCAUUCUGAAGGCUGCAGGGACUGAAGAUUUCAGAACGUCUGACGGAGUAAGCCUGGCUCUGACUAUAGAGCCUCUUCCUCUUCAGAUCCCAGGGGGCUCUUUCUCUGCAACUGUAGGCAUCUUAAUCUCUUUGAGCCUCAGAGUCUUUGUUGUAAAGGUAGAAUCAUUUGACUUUCUUAUUUGCUGAUUACAUCAAGGGGAAGUUCUCUCUUGGCUCAGCCCCAGCGUGUCUUUAAUUCUUCCCCAGCAUCUACUCCCCUUUUCUCCUCAUUCUACCCUGGUAACAGCAUCUCAGUUUCUUUUUGGAGAACUGCUUUCCUCCAGCCCGCAUCCUUUUGUUUCAGAUGGGGCUAAUCCCACCGCCAUUCCAGGGGAGGGCAGAUGAUCUGGGUUGGGCCAAUCAGCAUAAUCCAUUUCCCUGGCUGCAGUGAUUGGUUCAUUAUCAUCACCUGACCUUUGCCUGCUAAUGAGAUUUCAGUCUCAGAACUUUCGCAAGUACGACCGAGGAAGUUGCUGAGUCAUCUCUUUCCCUGUAAGUUGCUGGGGUUAGUGAGCUUCUGUCAGCCAUCUAGUUACCACUAGG
rnacentral:lncRNA from 1 species